ACGGGUUCAAAGUUCAAACUCACAAAAGAGGGCGACGCCGAAAACGGUUCUUCUCCAGUCUCCACCGGAGGCGGGAGGCGUAGGGUUUAGGCGCGGAAUGGCGGGAGGAGGAGGGGGGCGCGGCGAAUCCUCGCCGGCGAUCAAGCCAAUUAGUAAGGCGGUAGUGCACCGCAUCUGCUCUGGCCAGGUCAUCUUCGACCUUUCCUCCGCCGUCAAGGAGCUCGUCGAGAACAGCCUCGACGCUGGCGCUACCUCCGUCGAGGUCAGCCUCAAGGCCUACGGCGAGGAGUGGUUCAAGGUCGCCGACAACGGAUGCGGUAUAUCUCCCUCCAACUUCCGGGCUCUUGCUCUUAAGCACCACACGUCCAAGAUAUCAGAUUUCUCUGACCUUGGAUCCCUGGUUACCUUCGGGUUCCGGGGCGAAGCUCUGAGCUCGCUCUGCGCGCUUGGGAAACUGACGGUUGAGACGAGGAGCAAGGAUGAGCUAGUUGGGACGCAUUUGGAGUUUGAGCACUCUGGCGUGGUGGUUAGUGAAAGGAAGACCGCACGGCAGGUUGGAACCACGGUGACAGUAGAAAAGUUGUUCUCCACCUUGCCGGUCCGGAGCAAGGAAUUUAGCAGGAACAUUCGGAAGGAAUACGGGAAAGUGAUCUCGCUGCUGAACGCUUAUGCAUUGAUUGCCAAAGGGGUCAGAUUACUCUGCACUAAUACUGUUGGAAAAAAUUCUAAAAUGGUUGUGCUUAGAACUCAAGGAAGCAGUUCGAUGAAAGACACUAUCAUUACUGUAUUUGGUCCAAACACUUUUAAAUGUCUUGAGCCCUUCAGUGUUACCACCUCGGAUGGCUGCCAGAUAGAGGGCUUUCUUUCAAAACCUGGACCUGGUACUGGUCGCAGUUCAGGAGAUAGACAAUUUUUCUAUGUGAAUGGCAGACCUAUUGAUAUGCCAAAGGUCACAAAACUUGUCAACGAGCUAUACAGAAGCUCAAAUGCCAAACAAUAUCCUGUGGUAAUUCUAGAUUUUCAUAUUCCAACUACAUCCUAUGAUGUGAAUAUUGCACCUGAUAAGAGAAAAGUUUUCUUCUCAUCUGAAAGCAUGAUUCUGCAAUCUUUGCGGGAAACUGUUGAAAACCUGUACUCCCCUCAACAAUGCAGUUUCUCAGUCAAUCACAUCAAAGAUCCUGAAAAGGAAGGGGAUGCUGUUACUGAUAGGCAUAAUGAAGACACAAAUGCAAUCGUAAUGGUGAAUGUUCCAUCUUACUACAACAAUGAUGACAAUGAAGAAACAGACAAUGAGGAUCAGGUUUCUCCAGAGAACCAGAAAUUGCCUUCAGUGGCUAGAGAUGCGAGCCCCCUGUCAGGAGGCACAACCACUCAGGCUGAUAGAUCUGCUUGGCUUCCAUCCUUUGCAUAUGACCAGCCAAAAAGAUCGCCUAAAGAAGGAAGAAGUUUGGUAUUGGGUAGAAAUUGUUUUAGAACUGGGCUUGCUGCAAAGCCAACUCAUUCAAGUACUGUUCAGUCUUCUCUCCUGAACUUUGUAUCACUAAACAAGCGGAAACACGAAGAUGAUUGCACUCUUAUUUCUGAAGCUGCAGUGCUGAGAAGAGAGACAUGCUCUGAACAUAUGAGGAGAUCAAGUUUAGAAGCAAACUUUGUUACACCAAACAAGCAGAACCAUGAGGAUGAUUGCAUUAUUUCUGAGUCUCCAGUGCUGAGAAGUGGGACAUGCUCAGAACUAUACAAGAGGACAAGUUUAGAAGUCAAUUUUCCAUCACCAAAUAAGCAGAAGCAUGAUGACAAUUGCACUCUUAUUUCUGAAAUCCCUGUGUUGAGAAGAAGGACAAAUUCAGAACAAGCGAGAGGAACAAGUUUAGAAGCAAAUUCAGCACCUGAGUUCAAUUUACCUCUGGAAACAAACUCUUUAAAACAGCACUCCUCACAAUAUUUUGGAUCUGUGAGGACAGAUGUUUCACCACAGCAUUCUAAACAACCUAAUAUUGUGACCAUUGGGGCAGGGGUAACAGGUCCAUGUGAUGUUGACACUACAGAAUCUGAUAUGGAUCAACAGUGUGGUCGAUGCCAUUCAGCUUCUGGUGCUCCCAACAAAUAUUCAGAAUCACGACAUCAGAAUGCAUUGGCUGAUAGUCCUUUGCCUGAUGCUCAGGAUUAUGGUGAUGGUGCUGCAGUAUGUUAUGCAUCUGUACAAUAUCCCAUUAUUCAAUUUACGGUUGCCGAGCUUAGGAGAAGAAGAAAGAAUUGUUUUAUGAUAUCUCAUAUAAAUAAAUCAUAUUGUCUCGAGAAAACAACAAGGUGCUAUAAAGCUGCAACACUGGACAUCACUGUACCCUUAGCUGACGAGGCAAAAUCAAACUCAUUAGCUGCAGCCACCAAUGAGUUGGACAGGCUUUUCAGUAAACAUGAUUUUCGAGAAAUGGAGGUUGUUGGACAAUUUAAUCUUGGUUUUAUCAUUGGAAAGCUUGGCCAGGAUCUGUUUAUUGUAGAUCAGCAUGCUUCUGAUGAGAAGUACAACUUUGAGUGCCUUUCGCAGUCUACAAUUUUAAACGUACAGCCUCUUCUCGAGUAAGCCACUGAGACUUGAUCUAUCACCAGAGGAAGAAGUAAUUGUUUCUAUGAACAUGAGCACCAUCAGAAAAAAUGGUUUCGUUUUGGCAGAAGAUUUGCAUGCUUCUCCCGGUAACCAUUAUCUUCUGAAAGCUGUACCUUUCAGCAAAAAUAUUACAUUUGGUGUUCAAGAUGUAAAGGAGUUGAUCUCCAUGCUUGCCGAUAGUCAAGGAGACUGUUCAAUAAUCAGUAGCUACAAGCUGGAUACAGCCGACUCUGUUUGCCCUUCGAGGGUUCGUGCUAUGUUGGCUUCUAGGGCUUGCCGAAUGUCUACUAUGAUAGGCGAUCCACUAACAAAAGCUGAGAUGAAGAAGAUACUUAAAAACAUGGCUGGAUUGAGGUCCCCUUGGAACUGCCCACACGGGAGGCCAACAAUGCGGCACCUAGCUGACCUGCGUACUAUGAAGGCGAAAGAUAUCGCGUUUAAACGCUAGGCCCUGUUGGCUGCCGGCCUGCCGCGCGUGGGGGGCCUACGCUCAACGGAAGGAUGUUUCUAUGCUCUUCCGCUUUAUGUUGAAGAAUACAAGAAGUGCAUAUGUGCCCCGCCCCCGCUUGUAAAUUACGGCGUACGCACGUCGCGCCGCCCCCGCAUGCAAGGUCCAUUUGUUUGUUUGUUUUUUGUCAGAAGGAAUACCUGUGGUGAUAUUUAUGUCCAGUCUCCAGGGAUGUAUGGUGUUCUGUUUUGGCAAAUAGAAGCUUGUUAAUUGACGAGCUCCAGCUAUGUGAUGUAAGGCGAACCAAACAAAUGCAUGUCGGUCGGAUCACUAAUUUCGCUGAAAA